rnacentral:rRNA from 1 species
GAGCGACGACCCAUGCUUCGGUCUGGGGCCAGUCGCGAACGGGUGAGUACACGUGGGUAACGUGCCCCGAUGAUCGGGACAACCGAGGAAACUCGGGCUAAUACCGAAUGUGCCCUCCGGCCACAAGGCCGCUGGGGAAAGGAAGCUUCGGCCUCCGCAUCGGGAUCGGCCCGCGGCCCAUUAGCUUGUUGGUGAGGUAACGGCUUACCAAGGCGACGAUGGGUAUCUGGUCUGAUAGGACGAUCAGCCACUCUGGGCAUGAGACACGGCCCAGACUCCUACGGGAGGCAUCAGUGGGGAAUCUUGCGCAAUGCGCGAAAGCGUGACUCAGCAACGCCGCGUGGGGGAAGAAGGCCUUCGGGUUGUAAACCCCUUUCAGUUGGGACGAAGCUCCGUCGGUUAAUAGCCGGCUGGAGUGACGGUACCUUCAGAAGAAGCCCCGGCUAACUACGUGCCAGCAGCCGCGGUAAU